rnacentral:lncRNA from 1 species
AUGUUAGUGUGUCUUGAGAAAUCCAGGCUUGGCAGACAGGUUGCUGUAGGAAUCUGGAGUUCAGAGGAGACCUGGGCUGGAGAAAGGGAUUGGAACAGAUCUGGCAACCAGUUCUCCCCACAGGCACCACUUCUCUUCCAUGCCGCCCGGCCAGCGACGGCUCCUGGAGAAGACCCGCCGCUACAUUCGCAUCCUCUGUGCCUGCCUCCUGGGCUUCAACUGUGUCCUGCUGCUCUGCCUGUCCCCUUCACACUGGGUGCAGUGCACAGUGCCGAAGGACAGGCAGAGGCUCCUGGCUGGGCUCUGGACCGUGUGCCAUCACGAUCUCUGCUGGAGCCACACACCGAAGCCACCCUGUGCGUGCUUUCUAAAUCCCAGCCCCUUCCUUUGAUGGGCCCAGUCAGUUCCCCCGUAGCUCACCACUCUCCUUUCUCCUCUCCGCAACCCUGCUCCUUCUCUCCCUCACUGACUCACAGGCAUGUAAUGACAGCUUCUCCAAAUAGGCUAAGUCUGCCCAAGUUUGUCUUGACUGGCCUCCUCUGAUGACUUAAAAGCCUCUUCAUUAUCAGAAGCUAAUGCCCAGGGACCUUUGCACUCACAACUGCCCUCAGAAGAAGAAAUAGUAGUCAUUAACACCUUAGUAUGAAAGUGACUUCAUAAUUUAUUUCUCAAGGCGAUAAUUACAAUUUCAAACUUUUUCUCUCAUUUUGGAAUAAAUCAUUUAUUUACUUGUUAAAGGAAUUCCACAUGUCUGAGGAGAUGGGAAGAGGGUCCUUACUGGUGCCUGUGAAGCCACUCACUUGGUGGCUCCUUAUUCUGACUCCAUUGCAUGUAAGACACGCCAUGAUUCCAUCCUCCUUUGUCCCUCACUCCCUUCCCAAAACCCUGUCUAGCCUUUUUGUUUUUCUCUUAAAAAAAACUUUCAUAAUAAAAUGUAUUACCUAAACUGGUGGUUAAAAAAUAUAUGUAAAGUAGAAUUCUGCACAGCGGAAAAAUAAAGCCAAAGACUCUUCUCCAACCCCUGGUUUGUGCAAAGACACUGGGUGUCUGUAAACAUGAAGAGGCAGGAGGUACGAGUUCCGGUCCCGGGGAGGUAAGCUGCUGUCUAGCCUUCUUUAAGGGCAGGUCACCUCCACUCCAUCCAAGCCUCUCCUUUCCCUCUUCCCUUGGCUGACUACCUACAAUACUCCAGGGCCUCUUCCUCGUCUCUGCCCUCACCAUCCUCAUUACUAUUAUACAGUUCGGCAUCUCUCUCACCAAAGGGCCAGGAGACAGAACCUUCCUAGGUCUGGGCAUGUCCAUCUCCUGUUUCAACUCAGGUACAACACAGUGAGGUCAGAAGAGUUUUCCUAGAGUCCUUGUAUUUCUUCCCCUCCCAGUGCCAUUUCCCUUCUUUUACCGAGGCAUUCCCAGCCUCCCACGAACACUGCGAUC